rnacentral:rRNA from 1 species
AUUGAACGCUGGCGGCAGGCCUAACACAUGCAAGUCGGGCGGAUGAAGGGAGCUUGCUCCUGGAUUCAGCGGCGGACGGGUGAGUAAUGCCUAGGAAUCUGCCUGGUAGUGGGGGAUAACGUCCGGAAACGGGCGCUAAUACCGCAUACGUCCUGAGGGAGAAAGUGGGGGAUCUUCGGACCUCACGCUAUCAGAUGAGCCUAGGUCGGAUUAGCUAGUUGGUGGGGUAAAGGCCUACCAAGGCGACGAUCCGUAACUGGUCUGAGAGGAUGAUCAGUCACACUGGAACUGAGACACGGUCCAGACUCCUACGGGAGGCAGCAGUGGGGAAUAUUGGAAAAUGGGCGAAAGCCUGAUCCAGCCAUGCCGCGUGUGUGAAGAAGGUCUUCGGAUUGUAAAGCACUUUAAGUUGGGAGGAAGGGCAGUAAGUUAAUACCUUGCUGUUUGGACGUUACCAACAGAAGAAGCACCGGCUAACUUCGU